rnacentral:tRNA from 1 species
GGAAGGGCCUGUCGGUAGGCACGCUCCGAGGUUAAAACUUAAAGUUUGCCGACUAAGCAUGUAGAACUGCCUGCAGAGGGCUUGCGGACGCGGGUUCAAUUCCCGCCGACUCCACCA